rnacentral:misc_RNA from 1 species
UUCAGACGACCUCGAAGGCGGCUUCUCCGGUACUGCCGCCCCCUCCCGGCACCGGAGGGCCGGGGCGGCGGCGGAGCCGCCGCACUUUCUUGAUACUUGCUUCUUUUGUAAGCGGCGGAUCGGCAGCAACCGGGACAUUUUCAUGUACAGAGGCGAUACGCCGUUUUGCAGUGAGCUUUGCCGGCAGGAGCAGAUCGAGAUCGACGAG